rnacentral:rRNA from 1 species
UACAGAGGUCUCAAGCGUUGUUCGGAUUCAUUGGGCGUAAAGGGCGCGUAGGCGGCGCGGUAAGUCGGGUGUGAAAUCUCGGAGCUUAACUCCGAAACUGCAUUCGAUACUGCCGUGCUUGAGGACUGGAGAGGAGACUGGAAUUUACGGUGUAGCGGUGAAAUGCGUAGAUAUCGUAAGGAAGACCAGUGGCGAAGGCGGGUCUCUGGACAGUUCCUGACGCUGAGGCACGAAGGCCAGGGGGAGCAAAACGGGG